rnacentral:rRNA from 1 species
CCUACGGGAGGCUGCAGUGGGGAAUAUUGCACAAUGGGCGCAAGCCUGAUGCAGCCAUGCCGCGUGUGUGAAGAAGGCCUUCGGGUUGUAAAGCACUUUCAGCGGGGAGGAAGGCGGUGAGGUUAAUAACCUCAUCGAUUGACGUUACCCGCAGAAGAAGCACCGGCUAACUCCGUGCCAGCAGCCGCGGUAAUACGGAGGGUGCAAGCGUUAAUCGGAAUUACUGGGCGUAAAGCGCACGCAGGCGGUCUGUCAAGUCGGAUGUGAAAUCCCCGGGCUCAACCUGGGAACUGCAUUCGAAACUGGCAGGCUAGAGUCUUGUAGAGGGGGGUAGAAUUCCAGGUGUAGCGGAGAAAUGCGUAGAGAUCUGGAGGAAUACCGGUGGCGAAGGCGGCCCCCUGGACAAAGACUGACGCUCAGGUGCGAAAGCGUGGGGAGCAAACAGGAUUAGAUACCCUAGUAGUC